AAACGUUAGAGUUUGAUUCUGGCUCAGAACGAACGCUGGCGGCGUGCUUAACACAUGCAAGUCGAACGCGAAAGUCCUUCGGGAUGAGUAGAGUGGCGCACGGGUGAGUAAUGAAUAGGAACAUACCUUCGGGAAGGGGAUAACCACGGGAAACUGUGGCUAAUACCGUAUAAGGUCGAGAGAUGAAAGGGGGCCUCUAUUUAUAAGCUUCCGCCUGAAGAGUGGCCUAUUUCCCAUUAGCUAGUUGGCAGGGUAAAAGCCUACCAAGGCUACGAUGGGUAGCUGGUCUGAGAGGACGAUCAGCCACACUGGAACUGAGAUACGGUCCAGACUCCUACGGGAGGCAGCAGUGGGGAAUCUUGCACAAUGGGCGAAAGCCUGAUGCAGCAACGCCGCGUGAGUGAAGAAGGCCUUUGGGUUGUAAAGCUCUUUCGACUGGGAAGAAGGGUAUAUUUGCUAAUAUCAAAUAUAUCUGACGGUACCAGUAUAAGAAGCACUGGCUAAUUCCGUGCCAGCAGCUGCGGUAAUACGGAAGGUGCAAGCGUUGUUCGGAGUGACUGGGCGUAAAGGGCGCGUAGGCUGGAAGAUAAGACGAUUGUGAAAGCCCUGGGCUUAACCUGGGAAGUGCAGUCGUGACUGUUUUUCUUGAAUGUCUGAGAGGCUAGUGGAAUUCCAGGUGUAGGAGUGAAAUCCGUAGAUAUCUGGAGGAACAUCGGAGGCGAAGGCGGCUGGCUGGCAGAACAUUGACGCUGAGGCGCGAGAGCGCGGGGAGCAAACAGGAUUAGAUACCCUGGUAGUCCGCGCCGUAAACUAUGGAUACUAGGUGUUUGGGGAAUUAACCCCCUGAGUACUGAAGCUAACGCAUUAAGUAUCCCGCCUGGGGAGUACGGUCGCAAGGCUAAAACUCAAAGAAAUUGACGGGGGCCCGCACAAGCGGUGGAGUAUGUGGUUUAAUUCGAAGCAACGCGCAGAACCUUACCUACCCUUAACAUCCCGUGCUAGUGCCAGAGAUGGUAUGUUCUCUUCGGAGACGCGGAGAUAGGUGCUGCAUGGCUGUCGUCAGCUCGUGUUGUAAGAUGUCUGGUUAAGUCCAAUAACGAGCGCAACCCCUGCCUUUAGUUACCAUCAUUAAGUUGGGUACUCUAGAGGGACUGCCGGUGUUAAACCGGAGGAAGGCGGGGAUGACGUCAAGUCCUCAUGGCUCUUACGGGUAGGGCUACACACGUACUACAAUGGUUGGGACAAACCGGAGCAAGACUGCGAAGUUAAGCAAAUCGGUAAAACCCUACCUCAGUUCGGAUUGGAGUCUGCAACUCGACUCCAUGAAGUUGGAAUCGCUAGUAAUCGCUGAUCAGCAAGCAGCGGUGAAUACGUUCCCGGGCCUUGUACACACCGCCCGUCACACCACGAAAGUGGUCAUGACCAGAAGCAGCUGAGCUAACCGCAAGGAGGCAAGCUACCAAGGUUAUGGCUGUAAUUGGGGUGAAGUCGUAACAAGGUAGCCGUAGGGGAACCUGCGGCUGGAUCACCUCCUUU
rnacentral:rRNA from 1 species